rnacentral:rRNA from 1 species
CCCUUAGAUGUUCUGGGCCGCACGCGCGCUACACUGAUGCAUUCAACAAGCCUAGCCUUGACCGAGAGGUCCGGGUAAUCUUUGAAACUGCAUCGUGAUGGGGCUAGAUUAUUGCAAUUAUUAAUCUUCGACGGGGAAUGCCUAGUAAGCGUGAUUCAUCAAAUCGCGUUGAUUACGUCCCUGCCCUUUGUACACACCGCCCGUCGCUCCUACCGAUUGAAUGUGUUGGUGAGGAGCUCGGAUUGGCAGCAGUUGGUGGUUCGCCACCGGCUAUUGCUGUGAAGUCCUCCAAACCGCCCCAUUUAGAGGAAGGAGAAGUCGUAACA